AGAAAACAUGACCUGGGACGAUGCUCAGAAUAACUGUCACUCUCAUGGAGGACAGCUUGCAUCUGUGUAUGAUGACUUUCAAGCUUAUGAGAUUCAAGCGGAGCUGAAGCGUGCUGGACAUGAUCAUGGAGAAUUUUGGGUUGGAGGCCAUAAUAGUCCAGGGAAUCCUUCUUGGUCCUGGAGUGAUUAUUUGGGAAUGUCUGCUUUUGCUGACUUUUGUAAUGGAGACACAGCCGAAGAUGAGCACCACUGUUUGCAAAUAACUUUUACUGAGGAAAAGAGUGGAUGCUUAGAGAGCAUGGACUGUGAAACUGAGCUCCCGUCUAUCUGUGGAAACAUUAUUAUGUAAUUGUGAAUCAACUCUAUAAUGCAUCAGUAAAAAGCACAAAGAUCUGUGUUUUUCUUUCUCAGUGCUGUUUCUUUCUCUGUAUUUCCACACCAUCGCUAUGAUGCAAGCAAUCAGGCAUCAUGUGCAAUGAACUGGAGCUGAAUUUUCUGUACGAUUAAAAGAAAGCUUUCUGUAGACCUUUACUUUGUAGAGUGAACUGUAUUUCAUUCUUAAAUUAAAACUAUUAGCAUUGAAAGAAA
ensembl:lncRNA